GCUGUUAUGAUGACUCAAGUAUCUGCAGAGCAGUAGGCACAGAAAUGGACAUCAGCACAGCAAUAUGGCACAGUUAUGGGGUACAGCAAUGUGCAUCUGCAUAACAAUGGGAACAUCAAUAGGGAACCGCAAUGGGCAUCCUUAGAACUGUGUUUUUCCAUAACUCUGACAUGAAAUUAAGAUAAAUUAAGACACAGACCAGAAACAACUUUGCUGCCCUGGAUCCAGAGGUUCCAGCGCCUUCGUCCUUGGUAGCUUCCCAAUCAAGAUCGGAACCGGAGUUACCAGCGUCUUCAUCCUCGGCUCUGUCUCUCUCUCCGGUGGCUUCUACCUCGGGUUCAGAUCCUCGGAGCUCCCAGACCAUGAGUCUGCCUGAGAGACAGGCCAAUUCAACAUCACCAGCUGUCAUCAUAGGCAGCUCUACGGGGUUGGAGAAACAUUUGCCUUGGAAGUGUGGCUCCUUGCAGAGUCUCAUGGGAGUCUUUUCAAGCCCAGGGCCAACAGCUCAAACACGGGGAGACCUGCCAGGCCAAACCAGGACUAGGCCAGGCCAGUUGUCUGCUAGGAACAAUGGUGAGGUGUCUGCUCUGUCCCUGUACUUCAGAUUGCCCUUUAACCUUCAUAGCCUUCUGCCCGAAAGGACACCCCUGCCCGACUCCCGGUUCAACCCGUGCCAACCAGCUGUAAGUGUCCAGGGCUCCAUGAAGAACCAUCCACUGGAGGUCCCCUGACCUCUUUGGUACUGGGGGUUUGUAAAGCCAGGAGAUGGUAGGGUUAUGAAGUUGAAGCCACGGAAGGCCGAGCAUGACUUUGUGCACAGGUGCGGAGGUGAUGAGGAAGG
rnacentral:lncRNA from 1 species